UACGUAGGGUGCGAGCGUUGUCCGGAUUUAUUGGGCGUAAAGAGCUCGUAGGCGGCUUGGCAAGUCGGGUGUGAAACCUCCAGCUCAACCUGGAGACGCCACUCGAUACUGCCAUGGCUAGAGUCCGGUAGGGGACCACGGAAUUCCUGGUGUAGCGGUGAAAUGCGCAGAUAUCAGGAGGAACACCGGUGGCGAAGGCGGUGGUCUGGGCCGGCACUGACGCUGAGGAGCGAAAGCGUGGGUAGCAAACAGG
rnacentral:rRNA from 1 species